rnacentral:rRNA from 1 species
AAUGAACGUUGGCGGCGUGGAUUAGGCAUGCAAGUCGCGCGACAAGGUUUUGUUAGCUUGCUAAUGAGACUGGAGGAGCGGCGAAAGGGAGAGUAACGCGUGGGUAUCUGCCCUGGGGUCCGGGAUAGCAGCGGGAAACUGCUGGUAAUACCGGAUAACAUCCCCGGAUCAAAGGUGUGAUUCCGCCCUGGGAUGGGCCCGCGUCCUAUUAGGUAGUUGGUGGGGUAAUGGCCUACCAAGCCAAAGAUGGGUACCGGGUGUGAGAGCAUGGCCCGGCUCACUGGGACUGAGACACUGCCCAGACAUCUACGGAUGGCUGCAGUCGAGAAUCUUCCGCAAUGGACGAAAGUCUGACGGAGCGACGCCGCGUGCGGGAUGAAGG